UCAGAGACGCACAGCUCGAACGGGUUUUGCUUAAGUGGCAUAAUUCUCCCACAGUGGAGACAGCUCAUUCAUUAGUCAUUCCAGAUACAAAAUACUCUUCCGUGAGCCAACUCCACCAACCAGCUCCACAGCCACGGGUCUGCCCGCUGCCCCACCCCCACCCCGCCCGCCUGCCUGCCUUCGGGUGAAGACUUCACCUGAUCAUCCUAGACCAGCAAACUCGUAUCUACCCUUCAGGACCCACCUAGAUGUCACUGCAUCCAGAAGUCUUCUCCAUUUCCUCAGAGCAUUUUUUCCUCUUCUGUAUCCCUGAUUGCUGGGCUAUAACUCCAGCAAACCAUUGAUCUUGGGUACUGUUAAGGAUCCUGUCAUAUUCUGUCUCUGGAUUCCUCGAAAUGAAUGAAAAUCUCAGCAAAAAGUACUAGAUCCAUAAAGCAACAGCCCUGAACUUGAACGCAUGGAUGGAGAUGUGCCUCAGCCUGGAAGGAGUGGCCAGAGCAUCCUCUGUCUCCCCACUUUAUCAGCAAAUGGUAGUAGACACCAUCGUUAUUUCCUAGUGAAUCAAAAUGGAUGCUGGUACCCAGGAAGACCCUAGAGUCUGCAUCAGGACCAGCACACUGCCCCCGAGCCUAAGCAAGGCUCAAACUCUCCAGGCCUCAUUUUCUCAUGCACGGAUGUGAGCCCUAGUUGGUCCCUCCCAUCUCCAAUCAAAAGCAAACCCAAGACACCUUCUCUAACAACCAAAGGACCACAGCAGAGACCCAGGAAGGAGAGGCGUGUCUGGUCAGAACCCAGCACUGACUCUGGACUAAAUGGCUCCUCAGAGGACGGAGCUCCCAUCCAAAGGUCUGGGUGUCUGCACUGCAAUUUCCCUUCCUCCCCAAGCACCAGCUAGAAAAAGUCCCUUCCUCUGCUGUGUCUGUAAGGCUGUCUAGUGUUCAGGUUGUCACGGCUGGGGGCUGCCCCCCGCAGCACAGCAUUUUAGGAGCUGAGGUAUACAACGUAAGCACCAUCCUACCCAGCAUCUAGAACGUGGCUACUCAACCUGUGGAUCACGACCCUCGUUGAGUCGCAUAUCAGAUAUCUUGCAUACCAAAUAUUUACAAGGCAGUUCAUAAUACCAAGAGUCCAGUUAUGAGGUAGCAAUGGAAUAAUUUCAUGGUUGGGGUCACCACAACAUGAGGAACUGCAUUAAAGGGUUGCAGUCUUAGAAAGGUUGAGAGCCACUGCUCAAGAGGCUCCUCUGCCAGCACAGCAGGGCUGGCCCUCACAUGGGCUCCCCACACAGAGGUAGCCACCAGGCCCAGGCUCUUGAUCCUUUCCUUACUCCUCAGAAGGAAUCGCCAUCUCCCCAGGAGCUAAGGUCACACCGCCCAGUAGCCUGCUCCUGUUGCCUCUUGCCUGGAUCCUGCUAUUGCUGCUGCUCCUAACUCGAAGCUGGACACCCUGAUUCCCCAAAUCUGACACCUCCUUCCACCCUUCAGUGGAGUGCCACCAACCUGCCAGAGACCUGGGAAUGACUAGGCUUGACAUGAAGGGAUCCUGCCUGGCAGGCAGGUCCUGGCAGGCCUCAGAAUGCAGACGGUGAGUCACCUCCUGCUGCCUGCUGGACAGAGCUGUAAUGACAAUAAUAACAGAGCCCACUGUCAUUACCUCCCAGGACCAUAUCUCUGUCCAUCUCACAAUCCUCAGGGCCAGGGAGGGGCCAAAGGCAGAGAGUUCUUGUUCUGUCUUAAGCAGAGAGAAACUAAGGCUGGCAUUUCUACUGAACUCAGUAUAGAGCAGGGCUUUGCCUCCUAGUGUCACCCUGAUGUCAAAGGAAGUUGGAGGUCCCGAGAAAAGUUGAGGGGUGCAGAAGGAGACUGGCUUUUCUUGACUUCUCAGAACCUUCCUCUAAUCCUUAUCUUACUUGCCACAGCCCCUCAAGACAGGUGUGACUACUAUCCCCACUCUAUGCCCAAGGAACUUAGGGCUCAGUCAUCAAGGGAGUACCAACACAGGACAGGACACUAGGGAGAUUUGGCCAUCUUCCCAGUGUUCCUAGGGCAGACCCUCUGCAGCCUGGCAUCCCGGGGCAGAGCAGACACUCUGUGUGUAGGCUGGGAUCCUAAGUCUGGCUGUAGCUUUCUAAGUCUUGAGUCUGGUCUUCUCCAUAGCCUUUCCAGUCUAGCUCGCUGGUCUCCGGAUUAGGGCUCUUCCCCAGCUCCCUGAGGCUAGCUUUCACUUUCAUCUAGGAGCAGCCGUGGAAAAGUCAAGACUCCACACUUUAAUUUGGGGGUCUUGGUAAUUAUCUGACAUCCACCACCCACUCAACUCAACCACUAGUUAUUAUAAUAACAACAAUAAUAAUUUAGGGAGGCGAUAGCAGUGAUCACACUCUGCCCCGCCCCCAGGGGAAGGCCUCACCCAUUCUUUUAUACCCAAAUCUGUGGGACUGGGUGGGGAGGGGGUGUAGGCUUCUGGUCAGUCCUGGCCAGCAUGCCCUACAUCUUCUAGGUGAGCCAGCUCCAAUCCCUUAUGCCUCCUUUCUCCUCUUUGCAAAAUGGGGUAGAUAUCCUGUCACACAAAAAGCUGGCAGAUGGAGGAAGGUUGGGAGUUCGAGACCAGCCUCCUACAUGGAAAGAUCCUGCCUCAAACAAACAGCUCUACAGGAUGAGUUGCUCUGCACUUCAAGUCCUACUAAGGGACUUUUCCCUUCGCAAAACAUAUAGUCAGUGUGAGUAUCUGCCUGACACAUCACAGUGUGCCAUGGCAGGGCCUCCCCGGGGAUGGUCCUUUGGGUGAGCUGGCUGACUGGGGCCCGGCUGAGCUCAGGGUGCAGUGGGCACCGCCUUCAGCCCUCAGCACCAGCAGCUGUCAUUGCCAAGCCCUGCAGCCAGAAUGAGCAGUGCUGCCGUCUGAGCCCAGUAAAUGCUUUUACGAGUCCUUUUUACUAAUUUGGGUUAAUACGUGGAGAAGCCAGGACAACAGUUAACAACUAAGGAGAGGAACAGGGCCCGUGUCUCACUGGAACAAAUGUAGGUUGCCUCCAGUGUACUCAGGGUGCCCAGAGCUCUGGAGGAGGGAGGAGGAGUCACUAAACGCAAAGCCUCCCCACGCUGACCGCGGGGAGGGUCACUCUGUGUGUCUGGAGAGAGCAGAGCCUGCCUGUGAGUUUACACUGUCAGUUGCCUCUGGGCCCUUUUCUCUCCAGCUAGAGCUGCUGCUGCUGCUGCUGCUGCUGCUGCUGAGCAGGCUAAGAGGGAAGACCUUGAACCAUCUGUCUUCAGUCAUUACAUAUGCCUAUUGGAUAUAACAAGCCCAUUUACAAUGUGAUGUUCCCACAGUGUUCCAACUGCUUCCCAAAGGCUAAUUUGUUUAAUCCUCGUAACAUCUCUAUAAUUAUCACUGCCAUGAAGACUACCAAGACAGAGAGCAGAGGGGUUAAGUGACUUGUUCAGGGUCACAAAAUUGAAAAAGUAACAAAGCCAGGGUCUGGGCCCAGGUUGUUUCCCUUGGGAUCUGUGUUCAUUAUCUGAAAUUUGUUUUAAUUUUGUAUGUGUGCAUGUUUGAGUGUGGGUGCAUAUGUGAGUCUGUCAGUGUGGAGGCCAAAUAUUUCCAUACAAAGUUUUUCUUGAUUGCUUCCUACCUUACGUUUUGAGACAGGAUCUAUCCUGGACACCGGAAUUUACUGAAACUGCUAGGCUUGCUGGUCCUUGCACACCAGGGAUCCGCCGUCUCCCUCUUCACUUCUGUACCUAGCUUUUCAUUUUUAAUUAAUAUUUUUAUUAUUAACAUAUGAAUAGUGGGGAACUAUUCAUGGGUCAGAACUGCAUGCUUGCAUGAUGGGUGAGCGCUUUACCUAGUGGGCUAUCUCCCCAGGCCUUUACCUGAAGCACCCCUCCCGCCCCCCACCACACCAAACAGGGUUUUUCUGUGUAGCCCUGGUUGUCCUGGAACUCACUCUGCAGACCAGGCUGGCCUCAAACUCAGAGAUCCGUCUGCCUCUGCUUCCCUGAUGCUGGGAUUAAAAGCGUCCACCACCACUGUCCAACUCUUUACCUGAAAUUUUAAAGCUUCGAUCUAAAACCAGUUGAGAAAUACUGUAGCCUUAUUGCUUUCCCAGAGAGUGCUGGACACUCGUAUGUGGGAAAGAACCAGUUGUAAGAGAGACCCCUGAGUCACAGCUGAAUUCGAGUGUUCUUUCUGCACCACCCCCAACUGGAAAUUGCUUGCAUGCCUCCUGUGAUGCUGGGUUCAUUGCUGGAGCUGCUAGCACCCUCUUCUCUAAUUUCAGGGGCCUGACUUGUCCUCUGCAGUUGGGCUGCUUUAUCUCCUGUACAGGACAGCCCCUUGGCACUAAAAAUAGCAUCCAUGGUUCCUUUCAGUGUUUUCUUUGUUUUUAAAUUCGAUUUUAAACAUCCUUAGCUCUUCUGUGGCCUGUGUUUGUCUGAAUUCUAGAUUCAGGCCUGCCUCUGCUUCCCCCCUCUGCACUGCUGGGUUGUCUGGACCAGCCGUGCUGAGACACUGUCCCCUGGGCUGAGCAUGAGUGUGAGUUACACUCCUUGGCACAUACUGAGCUUGCAGUCUUUGAGUUCUGUCCUCCAAAGACUGGAACCACCCAGCUGUGCCAUCAGGGGUUUGAGCCUGACAGCAGACAUUCAUAUUUGCUGGUGGUAUAAUAUCAUCUUAUUAGUUUAAGUUCCUUGUUCAAGGAUAACUUGAAAACUUACUCUUUGUCCCUUCUUAAGGAUUCUCUACAGUUGUUGUUGUUGUUGUUUUAAUCGUGUAAAAUCUUCAUUUACUUUAUUUGGCCAUGCUAAGGAUGAAAUGUAGGGGUCUCAUGCGUGGAGCUGUACUCCUGUACAAGCUGAAGUUGGAUCACUGUGCCAUCUGUGUGCCCAGAAGGUUAUCAGAAGUCGUUUUUUUAAGAGCUUGGCAGGUUUUCUGAGGUGAGUUUGCACAGAAUGAUGAGGUAAAGAUAGAUGAACUCCCGAGAGAGCUUUCUGUUGGGAUCAAUAAGGGUGACCAGGGCUAGGCUUUCUGGUAUGCAAUUGGCUGGGUAAAACAGGUAAAGACCCACCCAGUGUCACCCGUGCGUCAGAGCCUGCCACCCAUGACGAGGCAGGAAGACAAAUACUGAUAGCGUCUGGCCACCAGAGCCCAUUGUUUUCUGUGCAGCCUCUGUGACAAGGACCCAGGAUGUGGAAGAGAGGACGUCACACAAAAGCCUCAGUGCCCAUUGUGAUGAGGUAUCAGGACUCCUAAGCCAGAGCAGAGCAGUUGAUCCGGGUGCCUUUAGCCUCCCAGAAGCAAGAAAAAGAAGCCACUGGGGGUGCGAGGUGUGGGUGUUCAGAGGGAGAGCCCUGCCAUGCUGUCUGGGGCCAGGGCUGCUGGGAGUUUGAAACGUUUUUUCAUCUUGGGCACCUUCCCUGUGCUCACUUCUCAGAGGUCACAGACUCCUGAGAAUCAAAAGAGCCAGGCUGAGGCUGGGGAUCACUGAGGCUCACAGCUAGUGGCCUGGGUUUAUCCCAUGGGGCUAGUGUGAAUCAGUUCCAGUGGGGCCGCUGCAGAACACAGAAUGUAGCUUUAUCUAAGAGCCAUCCAAACUCAGCUCCCUGUGUGCACGUGCAUUCAUCUCCCUCUUCUUGCAGCUGCACCCAGCCAUUCUCUCUGCAAGAGUGCCCAGGUGACAAGUUCUGAUGCUGGGGUACCCCACCCAGGUCCUGGAAGAGAUUCAGCCACAGGAACUGAGGUGAUUUGGAAGCCCUGAGAGGGGACCAUUCUUAGAUUUCUAGUAUAGUUGUGGAAAAGGCUGAGAGCAGACACCACACCAGGUAAAGAUGAGGUAGAGGACAAAAGUGGGAACCCCCUGGAACCAGGGAGCUAUAGGCACUAUCGGUCAAACAUCAGCCCCCCCCCCCCCCCGAGAUGUUCUGGGCUCUGCCUGUGGCAGUGGUCCCAGCCUUAGGACUCCCUAGCUUCACAACCUAGUCCUGAAGCUGUGGACCACAGAAUACCUUUUCCUGUCACCACCGAGACCUGCCUUUCCUCCUACAAAAGCCCUGUGGUCAUAGUCGGAGACAUUCUUACCAUCUGCUGGACUUCAGAGUGCUGGUGGGAAGAUCUGAACUCAGGCAAACAGGAGGCCAAUGUUAAGACACUUACCUGGGGCCAAUGAGGUGGCUUCAGCAGAGCAGGGUGAUUGUCCUUGAGCUCCGUCUGCAGAAGCUACAUGAAGGUAAAGGAGCAAGCCUGACUGGUGACGUUCUCUUCUGACUUCCACCCUCCUCCUAACAACAACAACAACAACAGUAGAUACAAUUUAAGAGCACUGUGCAGAGCUAACACUCUUGUCUACUUAGUUAAGUUAAGCUUGACUGCCAUUACAGACACUGUCUCCAUCACUGGCCUAUUGAUGUGAAGAAAGACCAUGACCAAGGCAACUCUUAUAAAAGAAAACAUUUCAUUUGGGGCUGGUUUACAGUUCCCGAGGUUUAGUCCCUCAUCAUCAUGGUAGGCAUCAUGGCACCGGAGCAGUGGCUGGGAGCUACUUCCUGGUAUAGGGCAUACAUCCAUAUGCCCAAUUUUAAUUAUUAGUUUAUAUUCUGUUUGUGCAUUUAUUUGUUCAAUACAGAGUCUCAUGUAGUCUGGGAUCCAGCCCACUAGGUAGCUGAGAAUGGCCUUGAACACCUCCUGAUCUCUAGCCUCUAUCUCCCAAGUGUGGGCUUGACGAUGCGAGCCGCGGCUCCCAGGUUGUAACUCCUUUUCUUCACAAAUUAUUAUUUGACAUCGUCUUAUCCAUUCAAGUGUGGGCCUGUGGACUUUCUUGAGAUAGGAUCAUAUUUUGUUGUUAUGGCUGACAUGAAACUUGCUACAUAGGCCAAGCUAGUCUCAACCUAGUGGCAAAGCUCCUGCCUUGUCCUCUUGGAUGCUGAGAUCACAGAAGGCUACCAACCACCUCACCCAGCCUUCACGUUAGUUUGCAGAGUUGAAUUAUUUAUCUUACAAUUUCCCAAAUCUCACUAAUUUUCACUAAAUCAGCGUGAAUGCAAAUCCUCAGUUGUGGAGAAAAAUACAAGGUGAGUGGAUCUCUGAGGUUUCCAAGGGCCUGUUUCUGCACUGGGCCUCUGGGCUACAAUGGGGUGAAGGCAGCCAUUGCCUUCUCUGUGCCGUCUCAGGAAGCAGAGGCAGAAGGGAAGAAAGCUCUUGGCCCCAGCCCUGCCAGAAUCACUCAAAUGGAUGAGUCUUGUCUUCCUGAAAGUGAAGGCCCCAACACAGAAGAGAACUAUCCAGCUGCCUUCUUGGGUGGGGAUUUCAUAGCCCUCCGAAAGCCUCUGGCACCUUCUCUUCUUGCCUUGGCUCUGUUUCCUUCUUUGCUGAGGGUCCUAUUUGUCAGAGCAGAAGGGAAUUGCAUCAGGCAGUUUUGAAUCAGACAAAACAAAAAUAAGUGGCAGCUUUCUUGGGGAAAAGUAAUGCCGAGUUUUGAUUUGCUUUGUUUUGCCACUCCUGACUUAUUAGGCAGAGCCCAGUAAGUUAGGGGAGGCUGGCCAGAAUUUCAAAACACAGAAGAGGGAAUAGCACUUUGAACAUCCGUGGGACAGGGAUGGGCAGGGAAGCCGUGCGCUGGCCAGGCUGGGUACUCCCCCUGCAGGUGGGAGAGCUGGAAGACCAGCAAGCUAAGUCUGCAGGGUGAGGGAGCAUGCAGGAACGGUGAUGGAGGCGGAACAAGAACAUACGCCAAGCAGUGUAAAGAAUAAUAACCAGGGACAGGUAAUGACAAACACAACGGAGUGCUGUCUGUAACCUCUGCUGACUGAGACCCUCCAGAUCCAGCAGGAACUGAAGCACAGCCCUUGACUUUGUAGUGCCUGAGCAGGGUUCUCAGCCUGUGGGUCACAACCUCCAGGGUUACAUAUCAGAUAUUUACAUUAUCAUUCAUAGUGGUAACAAACUUACAGUUACGAAGUAGCAACAAAAGUAAUUUUGUGGGUAGGGGGUCAGCACAAUAUGAGGAACUGUUUUACAGGGUAGCUGCAUCAGGAAGGUUGGGAAUUGCUGAGCUAGGGUAGUAACUGCUAGGCAGUUACAUAGGAUCUGUUAUCUCUCCAUUCUGCAGCUGAUGAGACUGGGGCACAGCUUGGUUGACUCUCCCACACUCUUUGAGCUCAGAUUGGACUUAGGGGCCCCUACUCCUGAUUGAGCUAAUGUAAAACUGUACCUCCCUCCCUUUGACGAGAAGCGGGAUCUGGCCUGGACGUUGAGAGCCAUGACCACAGAGGGGAAUCUGGAGUGCAGCGGUGUUCCAGAGGACUGUCACCAUCACCCUCAUCAUGGGGCACCCUCCCAAAGUCGAGGGGUUCUGUCCCCUACUCUUUACAUUCUGAGUUCCAUCCGCACUAGGCUGUCCUAGCUGUCACAACUGGUUAGACCACCACACUCCCUGAGCCUCAGUCUAGCUACCAGUAAAAGUGUGGAUGGAAUCUGACGGCUAAAGGUUUGGAAAGGGGCAGGGAUUGGGAGAGCCCUUGCCUAGCAUGACGUGCCCUGGUUUAGAGGAUCGGUGUGUGCUGGUGCAUAUGAAUAGUCCUAGCACUAGGGAGAUAGAGGAAGGAAUUAAAAAAUGAAGAACAGCCGGGCGUGGUGGCACACGCCUUUAAUCCCAGCACUCGAGAGGCAGAGGCAGGUGGAUUUCUGAGUUCGAGGCCAGCCUGGUCUACAGAGUGAGUUCCAGGACAGCCAGGGCUAUACAGAGCAACCCUGUCUCGUCUCGAAAAACCAAAAAAAAAAAAAAAAGAAGAAGGAGAAGAAGAAGAAGAAGAAGAAGAAGAAGAAGAAGAAGAAGAAGAAGAAGAAGAAGGUCAUUCUUGGCUAUAAAGUGAGCUUGAAGUCAGCCUGUGUUACUUGUUCUACACCACAGGGCUACACAGAGAAACCCUGUCUUGAAAAACCAAAAAAAAAAAAAAAAAAAAAAAAAAAAAAAAAAAAAAAAAAAAGGGGAUUGGGUUACCUGACCCCUGCAUUUUCUUUUUUGUUCUAGAAUCAGGUGACUACUGGGAAAAUCUAUUUUUAUUAUGGUUUACCGUGUCUACCAAAUACAUCUUCCAGAUACAAGGUGUGGCAAAUACUGAGAAAGGCAAACAACAUCUCAAGGAGCAUUCUCACAGACUUCAAGUAGGGCUGACUACAUGAGACUGUGGUGUGUAUGUGUGUGUGAGCCAGAUUCCUGGAUUCGUGCAAGAAAUGCACUGGGAUUGGUCCCUGGCUAGGGAAGAGUCUUUAGGGGCCAGGAGAAGGAGGAGGAAGAAGAAGAAGAAGAAGAGGGGGAGGAGAAGGAAGAGAGGGAGAAGAGGAGGAGAAGGAGGACGUACUUCUACUACUAGUAAUAGGAAUAGGAAUAGUAGUAGGAAUAGUAGCAGUAGUACUAGUAGCACCAGCAGCAGCAGUAGUUUGAGUGUCUAAGGCCAUCAGAAGUGGGAGGCAGUGAGCCUUACCUCUCACUGGAGUCCCAGACUCAAAGCCAGGAGAGCAGGCCCAGCUCAGGGGUUGCAGGAGACUUUGGAUUGGUCUAACCUGAGCAAGGUAAUGGUGACUGUGAGUUGGUCUAGCCUGAACAAGGCAAGAGUGGUGUGUGUCUAAGCAAGGAGAUGGGAUCUUAGCUUUCCACCCGGACCCUGCUCACCUUGCUGGUGGCUGACUGACCAGCCAGCCUUUCUAAUGUGACCUCUGCUGACUGAAGGGUGCAGCAUGUCUGGAGCCAGCGCAGCCUGACUGAUAAGCCUCCUCAACUCAUUAAAUUACGCAGGAGAAAUGGAGGUGGCGACUUCACUGUGUGACUGCUCUGCCAGGGAACCUGCCUUCCUGGGUUUCACGUUUCAAAGGCUGAAAUGGAUCUGGAGAUUUUGUGCAUAAUUAAAGGAGAAUGUCACUUCA